CCCAAGGAUGGGGCAUGCACAGCCUCUGUGCACAGCCUGGGCCAGUGCCCCACCACCCCCAGUGGAAAAGAGCAGCUUCCUUAGAUGCAGCUUCAAUCAACCUGCUGCAGUUGAAAGCCAUCCCCCCUUGUCCUGUCAGCACAGGCCCUGCUGAACACUCUGUCCCCUUCUUUCCUGCGGGACCCUUCCAGUCCUGCACAGCCACAGGGAGGCCUCCCAGUGUCUCCUCUCUCCAGGCUGAGCAUCCCCAGCCCCACUUGCCCAGCAGUCAGUCACAUCAGGGCCAGUCAAGGCUGCAGGGUAGCAAAUAGCAUCAGGAACUGAGAGAUGCAAGCUUUAGACCCAGGUUUUUCUGUUUGAAAGGAAGCUUGGCACAAUGUCCAUUGUCUUCUCCAUUUGUGAAACUCUAAGUGGAGUCUGGGCAGGCUGAUAUGCAGAGCAAAACCUGAAAAUACACUAGUGAUCCUGAGCCUGGGGGAUGCAGCUAAACCCAGCCAAAAGGAAUUUCUGGAAAGCUGAUCCUGGUUUACAUUAUCUUGAGUUUGGCUUUGCCAACUUCACCAGUCAUUUAUGAAAAACAAAAAAAAAGCUCAAACCAAAUCAGACAAAAACCCAAACAAACAAACAAACAAACCCAUGCAGCAAACCAAUCAAACAAAUAGAUAAAAAACCCCAAAUAAAACCAAAGGAAAUGAAGAGUUAGUAUUAGUUGCAAGGAUAGCACAGCAGGCAAAUGGCUGCUUGCCACAGGAUCACCAUCAAAAGCCACAUAGAACAGCUGCUCCAAAAUAUACCCAAGAGGAGAAAAAGAAAAAGUGAUGCAUGGCAACUUUGGGGGCAGCUCCACAUUCAGGUGAAGGAUGAGCACGCAGUGGUACAGAUCCAGCAUUGCCCACCCUCCAGGCUGCUGUUUGCUCCUGGUGAAAGACCCUUGCAGGACUGUGGCCCCUCUCAGUGCAGUGUCAGUCACUCCCAGAGCUCUCAGCUGAGCCACUGGCAUUUCCAGAGUGACAUCCAGUGGGAUACCCUUUUCGGUUUGUCUCCUAAUGCCCCAGGGGUCCUAAACAGUAUAUGCCAUCCCAUUUUUGUUCCGUUGAUAUUGACUGCUUGGUUUUAUUUUGUCAGCAGUUCUAUUCAUUAUGAAUUGGAAUAUGAUGAAAAAACUAAGGAAGUUAGCACCUAUAAUUAGUGCACAUAGCUUAACUGAUGCGGCAGCUCAUUUAAUGGUUGCUAGGAAAGAACUAGAAAGAUUUAAUGAACAAAAUUGGUAAAACAAGAAAUGGGGGAUUUGUAAUAAGUAGUUGUGGGAACUCAGUACAUCACUCCGGAUGUCCAGAGCUACCGAGACAACCCUUGGGGGGCUCGGAGGCCCUGGAAUGUUGCCAAAAGUACCUGGUGGCUUGACUUUUAUCCUUUUAAAGAAAUGACACCUGAAGGUGAGGAGAUGAGAGAAUUUCAGGUCUGAAUGGUGAGGGGUUGUUAUUCACUUGUUAGAACUCAAGUUAGAAUGCACUGUACAGGGGGGUUUUAUGUGUUGUACAGGGGGGUCUAGAAUUCUGUGCAUGGAUCAGGAGUCCCAAGAUGGAGGAAUUUGGGCGUGCCCUGUCCUUCUUCUUUCUUCUCCUUGGCAUCCAUGUUCAGGAUGAUGUUGGCAUGUGUGGAUUGGUUCAUAGAAAGAGUACACUUGCCAACAAGGGCAGAAAGUAUUGGGAAGUAAAGGUAAAUAUCUAAUAUGUAAUUUUCAUUAUAAAAGAGACAACCGCCUCGUGGGCGGGAGAGAGUGCCUUUGGCUGUCUUGCUGAUCAGACCUCGGCUGGACAGACAGAAAAUCUUUGUAGAUAAGAAAUAAUAAACUCAACUGAAGACCUAAAAGCAAGAGUCCAGACUCAUUCUUCGAGAGCGUGGCCUACCCAGAACCACUUUUUCCCGUGCUGGGGCAGAGACAAGUAACAGCUGACCCCGGCAAGUAGUAAUACAUUUGUUCAUUAAUUAAAUCAAUAGCUAAAUAACUAUAUGUUAUAAAACAAUAGUUAAAUAGCCAAAAAAACUUCUUGUGCAGAUACAUAUGGUUGCUGGUUUACUAUAGUGCUUUGGGAAUUCCAUUGUAAAGUUAUGCCUUGUGAAAGGAAAGUAAUGAGAAGCAGCUGUAACAACAAUCCUUAAACUUGCUAGAAUUGCUUAGCUUGCAGAAAGUGUAUAGUACUAGUAAGAAUUGCUUAACUUGCAGAAAAGUGUAUAGUGUUCUGUAUAGAUAUGCCUUAUAAGGCAUAAGUUCACUCAGCGUUCACAAAGAGGAAGACUAAGGGGGACUAAGCCUUCAUCCCACGACCACCAGAAGGCAGAAAAAGACCCCAUAGCAACUGAAUGAGCAAGCGCAGAAGACAGAUCACGUCAUCCCUAAACCCGGAGAAGAAGGCAAUAAAAGGUGGACUCAGGGGAUAGGAAUUUUGUGAGCCAAAGUGGAGCGGAGACUCCGGGUCGCCCAGCGCUGUCCUUGCUUAUUCUUGCUUGCAAAAAUAAUAAAGAUAAUUAUUUGA